GAAUCCAUAAGCUCUAAAUGGUAAGAGCGCUCGUUGAAUGAGAGGUUGGUGGUUCAAAUCCAUUUGGAUCCA
rnacentral:tRNA from 1 species